CAUAUUCCAAGUUCUUACUUCCUUUUAGGUCAGCAACUACAUGAGGGAGAUCAAAUACGGUGCAUUUCAUAUGAGGAAAGGCAUCAGCAAUGGACUUGGCCACAGUUCCCGUCCCACCGCCAACGUCAACCAACGAAUCCACUCCUUGAAACACCCCCUUGAAGUCAUCUAUCAUCAAGCUCGAGAUCAACUGGGCAUCGCUAGCCAUGGCGUCAUUGAAAAAAUGUGCAAGAGUCGGGUCCUGGUUGCCAUAAUCCCAAAAUGUCAUCCCAUGCACUACGUGAAACUGCGUAGGAUUGUCAUUUUGGAACCAAGUGGUCAAAUACUGCCAUGGAUCGGUUAAGAUGGGAUUGAGCAUGGCAAGUAAGAAGGGCCUUGUGCUCAUGGGAUUGUCUUUCUGGAGGAGUGCGGAGGCGUCUGUUAGUACAUAACCUUGUUCGCUGCCACCACUCAGACUUUCUCUGGCAAAGAAGCCGGAGUGGACUAAGAUUCGCAUGAGGCAUGGGAUGA
rnacentral:lncRNA from 1 species